UAUACGACCGUACCGCAAACCGACACUGGUGCGCGAGAUGAGUAUUCUAAGGCGCUUGAGAGAACUCAGGAGAAGGAACUCGGCAAAUUGACACCGUAACUUCGGAAGAAGGUGUGCCCUAUUAGUGUGUAGUGAACAACGGAGCAUGAAUGGGUUGCAAAAAAUCGGUGGCUGCGACUGUUUAUUAAAAACACAGCACUCUGCAAACACGAAAGUGGACGUAUAGGGUGUGACGCCUGCCCGGUGCUGGAAGAUUAAAUGAUGGGGUGCAAGCUCUUGAUUGAAGUCCCAGUAAACGGCGGCCGUAACAAUAACGGUCCUAAGGUAGCGAAAUUCCUUGUCGGGUAAGUUCCGACCUGCACGAAUGGCGUAACGAUGGCCACACUGUCUCCUCCUGAGACUCAGCGAAGUUGAAAUGUUUGUGAUGAUGCAAUCUCCCCGCGGAAAGACGGAAAGACCCCAUGAACCUUUACUGUAGCUUUGUAUUGGACUUUGAACAGAUCUGUGUAGGAUAGGUGGGAGGCUUUGAAGCAGGGUCGCUAGAUCUUGUGGAGCCAACGUUGAAAUACCACCCUGGUGUGUUUGAGGUUCUAACCUAGGUCCAUUAUCUGGAUCGGGGACAGUGCAUGGUAGGCAGUUUGACUGGGGCGGUCUCCUCCCAAAGCGUAACGGAGGAGUUCGAAGGUACGCUAGUUACGGUCGGACAUCGUGACGAUAGUGCAAUGGCAUAAGCGUGCUUAACUGCGAGACUGACAAGUCGAGCAGAUGCGAAAGCAGGACAUAGUGAUCCGGUGGUUCUGUAUGGAAGGGCCAUCGCUCAACGGAUAAAAGGUACUCUGGGGAUAACAGGCUGAUACCGCCCAAGAGUUCAUAUCGACGGCGGUGUUUGGCACCUCGAUGUCGGCUCAUCUCAUCCUGGGGCUGUAGCCGGUCCCAAGGGUAUGGCUGUUCGCCAUUUAAAGAGGUACGUGAGCUGGGUUUAAAACGUCGUGAGACAGUUUGGUCCCUAUCUUCCGUGGGCGCUGCAGAUUUGAGGAAGCCUGCUCCUAGUACGAGAGGACCGGAGUGGACACACCUCUGGUGUAUCGGUUGUCACGCCAGUGGCAUUGCCGAGUAGCUAAGUGUGGAAGAGAUAACCGCUGAAAGCAUCUAAGCGGGAAACUCGUUUCAAGAUGAGAUCUGCCGGGGCCUUGAGCCCCCUAAAGAGUCGUUCAAGACCAGGACGUUGAUAGGUCAGGUGUGGAAGCGCAGUAAUGUGUUAACCUAACUGAUACUAAUUGCUCGUGCGGCUUGACCU
rnacentral:rRNA from 1 species